AAUAAUUAAAGGAGUUUGAUGGGGAAAUUUACUAUAAAAGUUAAAGGUGAAAUUUGGUGUUUGAGUGUAGUAAGUUUGUUUAUCAAGAGUUCUUGAGGUUAUAAAAUUUUAGAUCUAAAUCAGGAUUAGAUACCCUGUUAUACUAUCUUUCAAUUUAAGGAUACUUGAGUAGUAAACAGUUAUGUUCUCGAAACUUAAAGGAUUUGGCGGUAUUUUAGUCUAGUUAGAGGAACCUGUUCUAUAAACGAUAAACCACGAAGAAUCUUACUCUUUUUUGUAAAUCAGUUUGUAUACCGUCAUUAUUAGAUAAUCUUUAUAAAGAAUUAUUAAAAUAAGUAUUUUAGUAUAUUAGAUCAAGGUGCAGCCAAUAAGGGAGCAAGAAAUGGGUUACAAUGUUAUUGAUAUAAACUGGGAAGAAGUUGAAAAUUUUUUUGAAGGUGGAUUUAAUAGUAAUAGUCUUUUAAUAAGGGAUUAUGAUAAUAGCUCUAAGAUAUGUACACAUCGCCCGUCGCUCUCACUCUUAAUGU
rnacentral:rRNA from 1 species